rnacentral:snoRNA from 1 species
AUUCAAUCUCCCAUAUUCUUUAAAAUACUUUCUGUACCCUGUGCAUUCCUACAGUGCUCGCUAAAACAGUUUUGAAAUGGUAUGAGGCCUUCCUUUGCUCUCUCCAGAACAAGGUUUUAGAAAUUUCAACAAUU